UCCUGUGACCACUCGUUCUUCAGUUCGCGCAGGAAUUAGGGACUAGGACGGUCACGUUUAGCUCUACGAAGUUAUCAGAGGCGAGCUAGCUGCCUAUAUAAGUAUGUUUUUCUCAGAUCUUAGACGAUGGACCGAUAUCCUUUUGUUUAUAAUAACUAAUUUAUAUCAUAGUGGCUAGGCCUACAGUAGCCUAAAUGCCACAGGGCCAGAGAAUGUCUGACGGGGCCUGCUGCCGCUAGAAAACGGUCCUGUUCUUAAAAAUUUCCAUUUACAAGCAACGUUGCUUAACCAGCAAGGCGCUUGAAUAGAUCUGCGGUGCAUGCAUACCGGCGUGCCUCGCCUUGGCACGUGGUCGGCAGCAUGGUCUCUUCAGCAGAGGAACGCAGUCGAGGACGCCCAGGAAUGGGGAGUAUGGAAUAGCUAUGUUUCAGACUAAGAGGUGAAGAUCAAAACGGUCCUAAAACCUUGCCAUGGCCUUCAGAAUGAGGGGAUGGAUGAUGGUGCCAACUAGGAUGAAGACACGAAGAUAUUUUCAGAUGUGCUUUUUAAAGCAAAAAUAAAUUACUUUCCUAACAUG